UUUCAGAUUCUAACACUUUGACCCCUUUUCGAUGAUUGGAUUGAUGGAAGAAGUUAAUUUAUUAAAAUGCGAAUUUGAGAUUCAUGUGUGGAAGUAUGACAUUUCAAAAUGAUGAAAUGAGAAGGAGAAAGCGUUCUUUUUUUUACCCAUUUUGGGUGAGAGAGAAGAAAAAAGAAACAUCGAGUAAAGGUUUUAUUCAAGAAAGGGCAAACUGACACAAAUUAAGGAUUUAUGGAUGUUUAAAAGGCACAUGUCAUUCACAUGAGAAUCUUUUGUAGAAAUUACUAGAGAGGGGGUAAAGUGUUGGAACCCGAAAGUUUAGGGGGUUGGGUGUUCACUACCUCCAAAAUAUAGCAUGGUGAUCUGUCAUUUGCCUUUUUUUUUUUCUCUUGUGAUAGGGAAAAUAAAGCUUUUUGGACAAAAUCAUGUGGGCUAGGCAAUACAAUGUGAAAUCGAAAUGGAUCAUGACAUCAUGUCACCCAUAGCCAUAUAAGAAAGAGAGAGAGAGAGAGAGGAGGAUGAGGAAUUGACUAAUUGAGGAGAAAGAGGAGGGAAUCAGAGAAUAGCUAAAUAGGAAUCUUCCUCUGGUGCAGGUUCAUUACCUACACCAGGAAAGCCAGAAGAAAGAAAAAGAGAGAGAAGGUUUGUGAAGGCAGAAAAAUUGGGUUUUCCUGUACGCGAUCUAUAGUUUAGUUUCUACUAUUAUUAUUAUGACGUAGAAGAGGUAAAGGAACGUCCAGAAAGAAUAGCGGGUAGGGAGGUUAAGAUAUGGGACGUUGUUGAGCCCCCAACCAACACCAACAGUUGGAAGCAUUAGGAUAGGAUUUAGGCGUCGCCUCUGUUAUCUGUUGGUAUCAUACGCAUACCCCAUUUUCUCAAGUCAAUUUUCUAGGACGAACAUCCACCACAAUAAGAAAUCGGGACGCAUUGACCAAGCGACAGUGUGUAGAAUUCUGGUUUGGUCCAAAAAUAAGAAGGUAAACUACAAAUGCUUGGAACUUUCGAAGCAAAUCUGUAAAGGGAGAGGGAGAGAGAGAGGGAGAGGGACAUCAUUAACAAUAAUUAACGCUUAUAAGUUGGUUGUCUCAUUAGUCUCUCUCAUUCUGGGCCCGCCGAAGCUGCUCUCUUUAGGAAGGCCUUAAUGGCGUCAGAUUUGUCAAUAUAACAUCAAUGCCUAAUUGCUUAUGCCGCCUCGUUAUUUGCACUUUCAAGCGACGCGCGCGCGCUCUCUCUCUCUCUCUGAGUCGUAGGGGGUUGUUUGGUAAUUGGAAUAAUGGUGGCGUGUGCGUUGCGUUUUGGAUUGAUCACCAUAAUUCGCAAAACACAAUUCACCGCUGUAGUCAAUAGUCAUGGAUGAUUACGGCGACAGGUGACGACAGCUAUACAACUUCUGAACGGCAAAAAUUUGGUGGGAAGUUGAGCCUCCCAAGAUAGCUGAUUCCAUUAAAAACUUUUGUGUUAUCUCCCCUCUCUUAGUGGAUCUCAAAAGAAAUGUCAAAAAAUUAAGGUUUUAUGAGUUCUACGGGGAUUGACCAAAGCAAAGACAUUGCGUUCGAUCGUAAGUCUCUUGAUCUCUUAAUGUUUGAAUUUCGGGUUUUGACUGGGGUAAUUGGAUUUCUCAGAAUCCAAAUCAUCUAAAGAAGUUGAAAAAAAUCUAAGCUCUGGAUUUCUGUUAUUUAUUGAGCUUAAACGAAUGAAAUCUUGCGCAUCACCGGCUAAGAUCCACAAGGUGAGUUCAAAAUUUGAACAAAUCUUAAGGUACCAACCCCUGGCUAUUGAAGAUCUGACAGUAAUUCAGUUUGGAAUUCUUAAGAGAGAUGCCCCAAAACCUGCCUUACUGCCGUCAAUUUUGAAACCUGGCCUCCUGAUGGUGAUCUGUUUCAAAAACGCAAAUUGCAGAGAUAAGAGGAAAAAAAAA